UGAGUUGAUCAAGUAGGCCGAG
rnacentral:miRNA from 1 species